rnacentral:lncRNA from 1 species
UUUUAUUCCUUUCUAGCAGCUCUAUACUACUAGUUGUAGUGUGUUUGGUUUCAGGUGCUUGUACAGCUUCGCUUCGUAUACAGGAGAAAUUCCUAUGUAUACGGCGGAUCUGUUAGCGUGCCCGGGGAACGAGAAAUCCGGGCCGUGACAUUUAUAUUUUUAAAGUUUUUUAAAAAAAUUUAAAAAUAAAUAUUUUAUUAGGCCGCCCGAAGCACGACCCGGCCCGGCACGGCCCGUGCCUCCGCGCCGAAGGCCGUGCCAGGCCAAAGAUAGACAUUUGGGCCGGCACGGCCCGGCCGAAAUUAAAUCCGGACCGGCCGGCCGGCCCCGACCUCGUUCAGCCCGAAAAAUGUGUGGUCCGUCGCCGGCCCGGCACGGCCCACAUUACACCCCUAAAUGCAGUACAGAACUUAACUUGCACCAUACACUACUCUGAGUGGGCAAUUUAAUUUUUAAAAUUUUUAAUUUUAUUAUUUAAUUUUUUAAUUUAUUUAAUUUGAAUCAGUAUUUUAAUUUUAAAAUUUAAGUUAAUUAUUUAUUUUAAUAAAUUUAUAGUUACGAAAAUUUUAUGAAAUAUACUAAUUAAAUUUAUAAAAAUAAACAACGCAUAUAAAUUUUAAAGUCAAAGUGUCAUUAACUAAAUUAAAUCAAAUCAAUUAAAAGGUUGUAUAAUAAAAUUAAAAUUUAAAAAAAUUAAAUAGUCGAUUUAAAAUAGUAUAUAGUUUAGAUAAGUUUUGUAUGUUUUUAUCUUUGCAGAAAAGAAAUUUAGUAUAUAUAUGUGCAACUACUUCUUAAUUUAUGGACAAUUUGCAUAAAAAAUCCAUCUGUUUUGUAUUUUUGCAAAAAACGGAACACUAUUUUCGAUUUUGCUUAUUCCGUUUGAAUUUUCAGAAACCGACUAAAAUAUUUUUAUUCCUUUUUGUCUCUCUCUUUGUUUUUCUCUAAUUCUCCGCUUCCGAUUCGUCUUCCUCCUUCUCACCGUUUCUCUCUCCUUCUCCUUCUCGCUUUCUCUUCUUUCUCCUUCUUCUCCACCACCCCAACAUUUAUACUGCACUUCACACUCUUAGGGCAUGUUUGUUUGGGUGGAAGUAGGGUGAAAGUGGAGACGGAGGAAAUCGUUUUCGUCAUAAAUAAUCACUUUUGUUAUUUGGUUCGCUGUAAAAAAGUUACAGUCGAAACUUGAGUUAACCUGAAACGGCGUAAUUGACUUCGGCCUAUCGUUGACUGAAGUCAAUUACGGUGAAGGGAGAUGAAGAAAAAAUAAUAAAAUAAUAUACAAGGUAAAGAUGGUUAUAUUUAAAUAUAUUUAAUUAUGGUACUAAUUACUCUUUUACUCAGUUUGCAAAUUUAAAAUAUGAUAAAAUUUGAUUAAUUAAUUUUAAUAUUUUCUUUAUUUAGUUUGUACAAUUAAAAUAUGAUAAAAAUUGAUUAAUUGUAUUAAUAUUUUUUCACUUUAUAAUUUUAUUGUUGUAUUAUUAUAAUUUAUGUAUAAAAAAUAAUUUAAUUGUUUUAAAUUAAAUUUUAAUUAUAUAGAAAUAUAAUUAUAUUAUUUUUAUUUAUUAAAUUAUAUUAUUUAUAUAUAAAUUAUAGUUUUAAAUCAUAUAUUUCCUACCAAACAAAUAGCAAAACUAAUUAAACUUCACUUCUAUAACUGCGAAGCAAACAACGGGAAAAAAGUAAUUUUUAUUAGAUUUUAUUGGGUUUUAUUGAGAUUUUGUGAUUUAAAACUUGUUAAGACCUCUUGGGAGCCCAAUUAUUAUUAAUGGGCUUUGCUUGAGAGCCCAACUAAAAUUUUUAUGUGUGAGAUUUAGUCCCACAUUGGAAAUCAAACGGGUGUUGAUGGUGUAUAAAUAUUUUUUUAUUUUCAAACUAGUUGCUUGGGAGAAAAUGAUAGUUAUACUCUCGUUCAAACACACGCGCACGGCACGAGUCCGAGCUGGGCGGGGCGAGCGGCAGCGCGCAUGGUUCAUAUUAUAAUCUUAGGCUUAUUUUGUUCUACACAGAUUUGACAUUCUUAUCCCUAUAAUCUUAGACUUAUCUUGUUCUACACACAGACUUGACGCGUUGAAGCAAGAUUCAAGAUUGCGUUGAAGCAAGAUUCAAGAUUCUCGCAUUGGUUAUAAAUAGGGUUAAUUACUUUUCACCAAUUUUCACUUGAGUCCCCAACCCUUUUUUUUUUCAAUUGAGUCCCUAACCUCUUGAUUUUAUUACAAUUAGGUCCCAACCGUUAAAAAAAGGGUUAAAAUUAACGGAAUCGCCACGUCAGCGUCUAUGUGGCAACCUUUUGCAUGUCAAUUUAGGUCCCUAAACUUUGCACAUUUUUCAUUUUAGUCCCUAAAAAAAAUUCAAAAUUUUAAAUUUAAAUUCAAAAAUAAUAUUAAAAUUAAAAUUUUAAACUAACGAGAAAUUAGAAUUUUGAAUUUGAAUUUAAAGCUGAAUUAAAAUUUUGAAUUGAAAUUCAAAUUUUAAAUUUAAAUUUUUAAUUGAAUAUA